GACGAACGCUGGCGGCGUGCUUAACACAUGCAAGUCGAACGGAAAGGCCCUGCUUUUGUGGGGUGCUCGAGUGGCGAACGGGUGAGUAACACGUGAGUAACCUGCCCUUGACUUUGGGAUAACUUCAGGAAACUGGGGCUAAUACCGGAUAGGAGCUCCUGCUGCAUGGUGGGGGUUGGAAAGUUUCGGCGGUUGGGGAUGGACUCGCGGCUUAUCAGCAUGUUGGUGAGGUAGUGGCUUACCAAGGCUUUGACGGGUAGCCGGCCUGAGAGGGUGACCGGCCACAUUGGGACUGAGAUACGGCCCAGACUCCUACGGGAGGCAGCAGUGGGGAAUAUUGCAAAAUGGGCGGAAGCCUGAUGCAGCAACGCCGCGUGCGGGAUGACGGCCUUAGGGUUGUAAACCGUGUUCGCCUGUGACGAAGCGUGAGUGACGGUAAUGGGUAAAGAAGCACCGGCUAACUACGUG
rnacentral:rRNA from 1 species